UAGUCGUAGUCGCAUUAGUCGCAGCGAAGCCGUCGUAGUAGUAGUGGUAGUAGUAGUAGUAGUAGUUGUAGUAACAGUAGUAGUAGUAGUAGAGCAAACACCAGCAACAGUAAAUUGAAUCUCAACUCACAAAAAGUGGAAGCCUCAUGAUUUCAUCUUUAUUGCUAGACAUUCUUAGUUCUCAUAAUAUCUAUUUAAGUUCCAGUAAUGUCACAAGAGCAUCGUCAUUGUAGCGCAUUUGGUUGUCUUUGACACUCAGUUUGGCGAGAAUCCCUUCGCUUGAUAUCCAUUUAUCGAGAAACUCACAAGGGGGAAUGAGGAGCUUUGGAAUUUAACCGUCCUGCGCUUGGUGUAUUGGGUUGAGGUAUCGAGUCAGGACUUGAUGAUUCGUAAUCGUGUCGCAGGCCUGCAGAAGACGUCUUGUGUAAACGAGUGAUACUUCACCUCUGUAACAUUGAUUAGGAACGUUAAGGAUAUUUUAGUUACAAAAUAAAUAAAAUUUCUUUUCACAUUGUUUAUGUAGAAGCGAGAUGUUGUAUUGACCAUCUCGAAGUGUUAUGAAGCAUUAGACUGAAUCAUCUGGAGCACCGCCGCUCUCGCUUCCUUAGAAUCGUGCUGCAUCAGCCGCCGUGUGGACUGUAUGUCCGCGAGUCCUGACUAUCGUUUGUGGGCGAGCCGCGAAUACGCCCCUGACGGACGCAUCCCACCGAGGCCCUGCAGGUUCUGAAACUAAGAGUGACGUGAAUGCCUCUUGCUACCCCAUAAGGGUGAUGAAAGUGGUGGCGGCGGCGGUCACGUGGCGCUUCCUGUUGUGGCCGAGACGGAAUAUUGCAUGGACAGCGUAUCUGGAAAGGGAAGAGGGAGAGGAGGAAAGUGAGAGAAGAGAGCCAUGGGUGCAGGUCAACACUCACAAUUAAGGAGAGUGAGGGAGCCACGGCAUCACUUCAGGCAGGCAUUAGCGGCGCGGCGCAUUAUGAGGCUAAUACAGCUCUUUACAACUACUGCAACUACAGACCACCACCACCGCCGCCGUCGCCGUCGCCUCCACCACCACCACCACCACCACCACCACCACCACCACCACCAUUACCGUUACCACCACAUCCACAACCACUCCACGGCCUCGUUUCCGACCACCUCCUGUGUUCCUGCCAAACUUCACGAGUGGGUUAAUUUCCAUGCUGGAGUUUAAACAUUUUUCUUGGCCUAGUUUUCGAGCGCUCCGUUUUUCCGCUCCCCUGCACGUUGGCCGCUGCAGGAGUGCCUUAAUUGCUUCUGGGACGGCUCAGGUGUAGAGGAAGUGUAGGUGAAGUAAUAGAUCGUACCUUUUUUCAUAUCUACUUUGUCUAGUGAUGUCGAAGGUAAUGUUGUACUGUGCUUGAGGUGUUUUAAGUGUUUGUGUAAGGUGAUUCAGAGUGAGAGGGGGGCGGGGGAAGGAGAGCGAAUAUAUGAGAAAAAUGUAAAAUUGCCAGAGAAAAACAGUUUACGACAAAAAAAAUAAAGUACUUAGAUGGCAAAAGGAUAAAAAUCUCAGAGAGAGAGAGAGAGAGAGAGAGAGAGAGAGAGAGAGAGAGAGAGAGAGAGGAUGGGGGGAAGCAGUAUAAAACACCCUGGGAAAACUCAUUCAAUUCUAAGCCCAAAUAACCGCAUCGUCAUUCUAAACUAUCUAACCACUGCCACCCUUUUUCUCUCUUCCUACAUUUGUACUUUCCUCACCCCUCUUAUUCACCUCAACCAAACUCUUUGCUUCCUUCUUUUCUCCCAAACUUCUGUGCCCCUCCCCAUCAAGUAAGGCCUUAAAUGCAUUCUACGUGUAUCAGCGGGCAAAGAUUUUAUUCGCUUGGGGAGAAUGACCAAAACAAAGACCUAUAUUGCUCCCGAAGGCGUGACACAGAGGCUGACCUAACCUAAUCUGACUUAACCUAACCUAACCUAACUCUCCGUCACGAGGCAACAUAUUCACCGGAGAGGAUUUCUGUGGCGCAAAAUGUAUACCAAAAGAAUCGUGACGUUAAUCGUUUAUGUAGAAAAUGCGCCGUGUGUUUUGUUUCAUAUUUGCGUCGCAUAUGUCACCGUCUCCGUAACUGUGAACUGGAGAGAUGCGGCAGUGCGUGUUUCUAUCUUAGGGGGAGACUCAGGUGUGGCAGAAGACAAAAGAGGAAAUAGUUCUCCCUUUUUUCAGCUUUUCACUCCCCGAUUGGAUACAACCUAUAUGGGAAACUGAACAAUAUAUUUCUCUCUCUCUCUCUCUCUCUCUCUCUCUCUCUCUCUCUCUCUCUCUCUCUCUCUCUCUCUCUCUCUCUCUCUCUCGUAAGCUUUUUGUCACGUAUUAAAAUAUUUCCAUGGGUAAUUUUUGGGGCAAUUUUUCUCUCUCGAUUUCUUCGUUUGCUGGCCUUUGUAUUGCGGCAGUUUCAGUUUUGUUUGUUCUGGUUCGCCGUCAUUUCGAUGCUUUCUGUCCGCCGCUAAGUUUGAAGUGAAUUGUUUCUUGUGUGCAUUCACCUGACAAAGAAAAAGGAUAGGGAAAGGGAUGGAAAACAGAACAGAAUGUGUAUUGUUAUGAUA